rnacentral:rRNA from 1 species
CCUACGGGUGGCUGCAGUGGGGAAUAUUGCACAAUGGGCGAAAGCCUGAUGCAGCAACGCCGCGUGAGCGAUGAAGGUCUUCGGAUCGUAAAGCUCUGUCCUCAAGGAAGAAUUUUGACGGUACUUGAGGAGGAAGCCCCGGCUAACUACGUGCCAGCAGCCGCGGUAAUACGUAGGGGGCUAGCGUUAUCCGGAAUUAUUGGGCGUAAAGGGUGCGUAGGCGGUCCUACAAGUCAGAGGUGAAAGGCUACGGCUCAACCGUAGUAAGCCUUUGA